rnacentral:lncRNA from 1 species
UGUUAAGUACAACUGCAUCAUGAAUUUUAUGGAUGUAUCAUGCUUAACUAAAAUAGUUCCCUAUUAUUAGUGUCACUAUUAUAAGCUAUGAUGUAGUAAACUUUCUUCUGCCUGUAAACUCGUGAAAUUUAUGAGUAUAUUCUUUAUUUAAAUUCGUAGUAUGAGGUUGUUGGACAUAUAUAUUUUGAAUUUUGAUAGAUAUUAUUGAUUUUUCUUCCAUGUCGAGACUAUACUUGGGUAAGGGAAGAGAUCAGAAGAAGGACGAUUAUUUAUUAGACCACUGCAAAAUUCCAGGAAAAAGAUGAUAGUGUCUUGGACUAGGGUGGAAGUCAUGGUAGAUUUAAGAAGUGAUAAUAUAUUUUUAUUUAAUAUAUUGCAUAUGCUAAAACAAUAUACCUCCGAAAUCAAAUGUUUUCUUAAUACUUUCAGAAUUAGACAUAACAUUACUCUGCUCACUUAUAAAAUAAAAUCUAAUCUUUUUGCAUGUAAAAAAAAAAAGAAGUGAUUGAAAUCUGGAUAUAUUCUGAGCCUGGAGCCAUAGGAUUUGUUAAUAGUUUUGUCAUUGGAAAUAAAAGAAAGAGAAGAAUCAAGUAAGACUCAAAAAUGUUUAGCCAGAGCCUCUGGAACUCUGAUGUUUCCUUUUAAGGAAUCAGGAGAGAUUUCUAAACGUUCAGACUUACCAGGAACAGGAAUCAAAGGUUUGGUUUGGGCAUCUUUAGUCGAGUUUGAGAUAUUUAGUAGACAUCUAUGACUGUGAUAUAGCCAUACUGAACUUUACAAUUUUUUCUGUUUAAAAAUUCUUUUCAUAUCCACCUCCUUGAAUUCCAUGGCUCAACUGAAAUACCAUGCUUUUCUGUGAAUUUUAUUUAACAGAGCUAGUCCCCUCCCCACUAUUCCUCUUAUCAUAUUAUGCAUCAAUUUCCAUGUUCAUGGAUUGGAUGAAUUAAUAUGAAUUUAUAUUCUUAAAUGAUUCAUACUGCCCAAACCAAUCUACAAAUUCCAUGCUAUCCUUAUCAAAAUGCCAUAUUUCACAUAAUUAGAACAAAGAAUUCUAAAAAUUUUAUGAAACCUCAGAAGACACCAGAUAACCAAAACAAUCUUGAGAAAAAAGAACCAAUCUGGAGGUAUGACACUCCCUGAUUUCAAACUAUACUAUGAAGCUAUAGUAAUCAAAACAGUAUGGUAGUAGCACAAAAACAGACAUAUAAUCAAUGGAAGAGAAUUCAGAUACCAGAAAUAUACCCACACAUAUAUGUACAAUUAAUCUGUGACAAAGGAGCAAAGAACAUACAAUGGAGAUCUCUUCAGUAUGUGGUGCUGUGAGAACUGGACAGACACAUACAAAAAAAAAGUAGACUACUAUCGUACCCCAUACACAAAGAUUAACUCUAGAUAGAUUAAAGGCUUGAAUUUAAGACCUGAAACCAUAAAACUCUAAGAAGAAAACAUAGGCAAUGUUCUUGUUGACAUUGGUCUUAGCAGUGUUUUUAUGGAUCUGAUUCCAAAGGCAAGAUAAACAAUAGCAAAAACAAACAAAUGAGAUUAUACAAAAAAAAAAAUUCUGCACAGUGAAGAAAAAUAUCAUCUAUCAACAAAAUCCAAUCUACUGAAUGCGAGAAAAUAUUUGCAAUCAUAUAUCCAAUAAGGGGUUAAUAUCCAACAUAUAUUUUCUAAGCUCAUAAAAUUCAACAACAGAAAGUAAACACAAUACUGUAUACAAAUAGAUAAAAAGGAAUCUACUGUAUAGCACAGGGAACUCUAUUCAGUAUUCUGUAAUAACCUAUAUGGGAAAAGAGGCUAGAAAAAAAAUGGAUGUAUGUAUAACUGAGUCACUUUGCUCUAUACCUCAAACUAACACAGGAUUGUAAAUCAGCUAACUCCAAUAAAAAUAUUAAAAAAGAAUGCAUUUAAAAAUUAUUUUGAAAACAAUUAUUUCAUUUUAUUUAAACUUUUUCUCAACGUAUUAUUUUUGGAUGAUUGAAUAAAGUUUUGAAAAAAGCAACAUGAGAAAGUGAGAGAUAAAAUGAUUUUUUUUAAUGCAUGCUCUUAAAGUUCUUAUUAACCUCAAGCCAUUUUGGGCUUUGGUAAUACCCCUAACAUUUUUCUUAAAAUGAAAAUAUUCCUCCAUUUAAAAUUAUCUUUUAGCCUAGGGGACAAAAAUAAACCAAUCCUUAGCUAUAAUGAUUUAAAGUCUUUGAACUUUUCAAACUGAAGCAAAUGUCACACGAGUUAUCUUUCAUCUUAUAGCUAUUAUUCUAACAGAAUUCAGUUUAAUGACACUCUGUCCAGAGAAUCAUCAUCUAUUUUUGACCCUUUUAACUUAGAACUUACUCAUUUCUCACCAGAAAAUCAUUCCCCCCUGAUUAUUUCUAGAACUAGUAUUUUCCAUUCUUUAGAAGCCUCUCUGAAGGCUGUUUCCCUCCAACUCUUAUAAGCUUUAUCAUUACAACUCAAAGCAAUACCAAGUUUAGAACAGUUUUAUGACAUUUUUAUAUACUGAAAAUAUUAGUGCUUCAAAUAUUUUUAAUGAAUGAACAGAAUUAAAAAUCUUUAUUAUCUCUUUUAAUUUAUGUUUUAUCUUCUUUUUUAAAGUAAGUUUUUCUUUUUAUUACAGUUCAUUUACAGUGUUGUGUCAAUUUCUGCUAUACAGCAUAGUGACCCAGUCAUACAUACAUAUGUAUUUAUACUCUUUUUUCAUACUGUCUUCCAUCAUGUUCUGUCCCAAGAGAUUGGAUAUAUUCCCUGUGCUAUACAGUAGGACCUCAUUGCUUAUCCAUUCUAAAUGUAAUAGUUUGCAUCUACCAACACCAUACUCCCCAUCCAUCCUAUUUGCUCCUUUCCCCACCUCCAGCACCACAAGGCUGUUCUCUAUGUCUGAGAGGUAUAUACCACAUCUUUUUGUUUUUUUAUUUUGUUUUGUUUUUUGUCUUUUACAGCCACGCCUGCUACAUUUGGAAGUUCCCAGGCUAGGGGUCAAAUCUGAGCUGCAGUUGCUGGCCUAUGCCAUAGCCAUAGCAAUGUGGGAUCUGAGCCGCAUCUGCAACCUAUGCUGCAGCUUGUGGUAACGUUGACCCCUUAACCUACUGGGUGAGGCCAGGGAUCAAACCCAUAUCCUUAUGGCUCCUAGUUGGGUUCCUAACCUGCUGAGCCAUAACAGUUACUCCAUUUUUUUUUUUCAUCUGCAUCUUCUUAAUCUGUUCAUCUGUCAGUGGACAUUUAGGUUGUUUCCAUGUCUUGACUGUUGUGAAUAGUGCUGCAAUGAACAUAUGGGUGCAUGUAUCUUUUUGAAUUAUAGUUUUGUAUGUACAUAGGUCCAGGAAUGGGAUUACUGGAAUCACUAGC